GUAGGUGGCAAGCGUUGUCCGGGAAUUAUUGGGGCGUAAAGCGCGCGCAGGCGGUUCUUUAAGUCUGAUGUGAAAGCCCACGGGCUCAACCGUGGAGGGUCAUUGGAAACUGGAGAACUUGAGUACAGAAGAGGAAAGCGGAAUUCCACGUGUAGCGGUGAAAUGCGUAGAGAUGUGGAGGAACACCAGUGGCGAAGGCGGCUUUCUGGUCUGUAACUGACGCUGAGGCGCGAAAGCGUGGGGAGCAAACAGGAUUAGAUACCCUGGUAGUCCACGCCGUAAACGAUGAGUGCUAAGUGUUAGGGGGUUUCCGCCCCUUAGCGCUGCAGCUAACGCAUUAAGCACUCCGCCUGGGGAGUACGGCCGCAAAGGCUGA
rnacentral:rRNA from 1 species